GGUUCCUGUCCAACGUUAAUCGGGGCAGGGUGAGUCGACCCCUAAGGCGAGGCCGAAAGGCGUAGUCGAUGGGAAACGGGUUAAUAUUCCCGUACUUGGUGUUACUGCGAAGGGGGGACGGAGAAGGCUAUGUUGGCCGGGCGACGGUUGUCCCGGUUUAAGCGUGUAGGUGUGUGUUCCAGGUAAAUCCGGUUCACUUUAACACUGAGGCGUGACGACGAGGCACUACGGUGCUGAAGCAACAAAUGCCCUGCUUCCAGGAAAAGCCUCUAAGCAUCAGGUAACAUCAAAUCGUACCCCAAACCGACACAGGUGGUCAGGUAGAGAAUACCAAGGCGCUUGAGAGAACUCGGGUGAAGGAACUAGGCAAAAUGGUGCCGUAACUUCGGGAGAAGGCACGCUGACACGUAGGUGAAGUGAUUUACUCAUGGAGCUGAAGUCAGUCGAAGAUACCAGCUGGCUGCAACUGUUUAUUAAAAACACAGCACUGUGCAAACACGAAAGUGGACGUAUACGGUGUGACGCCUGCCCGGUGCCGGAAGGUUAAUUGAUGGGGUCAGCGCAAGCGAAGCUCCUGAUCGAAGCCCCGGUAAACGGCGGCCGUAACUAUAACGGUCCUAAGGUAGCGAAAUUCCUUGUCGGGUAAGUUCCGACCUGCACGAAUGGCGUAAUGAUGGCCAGGCUGUCUCCACCCGAGACUCAGUGAAAUUGAACUCGCUGUGAAGAUGCAGUGUACCCGCGGCAAGACGGAAAGACCCCGUGAACCUUUACUAUAGCUUGACACUGAACAUUGAGCCUUGAUGUGUAGGAUAGGUGGGAGGCUUUGAAGUGUGGACGCCAGUCUGCAUGGAGCCGACCUUGAAAUACCACCCUUUAAUGUUUGAUGUUCUAACGUGGACCCGUUACCCGGGUUGCGGACAGUGUCUGGUGGGUAGUUUGACUGGGGCGGUCUCCUCCUAAAGAGUAACGGAGGAGCACGAAGGUUGGCUAAUCCUGGUCGGACAUCAGGAGGUUAGUGCAAUGGCAUAAGCCAGCUUGACUGCGAGCGUGACGGCGCGAGCAGGUGCGAAAGCAGGUCAUAGUGAUCCGGUGGUUCUGAAUGGAAGGGCCAUCGCUCAACGGAUAAAAGGUACUCCGGGGAUAACAGGCUGAUACCGCCCAAGAGUUCAUAUCGACGGCGGUGUUUGGCACCUCGAUGUCGGCUCAUCACAUCCUGGGGCUGAAGUAGGUCCCAAGGGUAUGGCUGUUCGCCAUUUAAAGUGGUACGCGAGCUGGGUUUAGAACGUCGUGAGACAGUUCGGUCCCUAUCUGCCGUGGGCGCUGGAGAACUGAGGGGGGCUGCUCCUAGUACGAGAGGACCGGAGUGGACGCAUCACUGGUGUUCGGGUUGUCAUGCCAAUGGCACUGCCCGGUAGCUAAAUGCGGAAGAGAUAAGUGCUGAAAGCAUCUAAGCACGAAACUUGCCCCGA
rnacentral:rRNA from 2 species